rnacentral:lncRNA from 1 species
GAGGUAUGCAUUUUUCUCGGAGUAAAUUCAUGAUCAAAAUACAAACACAACAUCCUUCACCUUGGUGAUUAUUAUAGAUUGUCCUCCAUAUCAGGAGCAAGCACCCCUACAUCCAGUGCAAUUUGCUGGUAAGCUGCAGUCGCUAUAGCAGACUCUAUCCCUGGUCACGCCAUUACACACAACAGAAGUGUAUGUGCACACUUGUGGACAGACUGCAAAAACAACAACCAAUAGCAGUGAUUGAGAGGAUGAAUCCAGAGAGAGAUUUACCUUGCUUGAGUGUUCUAAACGCUACCGCCUGCUCAGGCAACAUACCUGAAACCAUUCACAGAAAGCUGUCAAUGAAACGGCAAAAGAAAAGAUUCAUCAACAAUAUCUACCCUGAGAAACAGUGAGGAGCAGCAAGAUGAUCAGGCCUGUUGCUUCCAUUGCUUACACCACAUGCCCCUUGUAGCCCCGGUGAGACUUUAUACAUGCUCAGUCAAAUAGAACUCAAGCUGAUGAUAUCAAAUAGAACU